rnacentral:rRNA from 1 species
GAUGAACGCUGGCGGCGUGCCUAAUACAUGCAAGUCGAGCGAACGGACGAGAAGCUUGCUUCUCUGAUGUUAGCGGCGGACGGGUGAGUAACACGUGGAUAACCUACCUAUAAGACUGGGAUAACUUCGGGAAACCGGAGCUAAUACCGGAUAAUAUUUUGAACCGCAUGGUUCAAAAGUGAAAGACGGUCUUGCUUUCACUUAUAGAUGGAUCCGCGCUGCAUUAGCUAGUUGGUAAGGUAACGGCUUACCAAGGCAACGAUGCAUAGCCGACCUGAGGGGGUGAUCGGCCACACUGGAACUGAGACACGGUCCAGACUCCUACGGGAGGCAGCAGUAGGGAAUCUUCCGCAAUGGGCGAAAGCCUGACGGAGCAACGCCGCGUGAGUGAUGAAGGUCUUCGGAUCGUAAAACUCUGUUAUUAGGGAAGAACAUAUGUGUAAGUAACUGUGCACAUCUUGACGGUACCUAAUCAGAAAGCCACGGCUAACUACGUG